GACGUUAUUCUGAAAGGGAUACUUCUUCGGACAAUAUACAAGGUGCUGCAUGGUUGUCGUCAGCUCGUGCCGUGAGGUGUCGGGUUAAGUCCCAAUAACGAGCGCAACCCCUAUCAUUAGUUGCCAUCAGGUCAAGCGUGGGGACUCUAAUGAAACUGCCUACGCAAGUAGUGAGAAGGUGGGGAUGACGUCAAAUCAGCACGGCCCUUACGUCCAGGGCUACACACGUGCUACAAUGGCCGGUACAACGGGCAGCGAAGGAGCGAUCCGGAGCGAAUCCUAAAAAGCCGGUCCCAGUUCGGAUUGCAGGCUGAAACUCGCCUACAUGAAGUUGGAGUUGCUAGUAAUCGCGAAUCAGAAUGUCGCGGUGAAUGCGUUCCCGGGUCUU
rnacentral:rRNA from 1 species